UGGUCUCCACAAAAGGUUGUGGUGUCCCUUGGCAUUCAAAAGCGCCGAAAGAAAAAAAAACUAACAAAGCCAUAGUGUUCUCUAACCCAUUGUCCCUCGACCUUCGCACAACCCCAGCACCAAGGGGUUGUGCCUGUCGUCGUCUUCAAUACCCAUGUCGGAACCCGACACCCACGCGCCGCCGCCUCCGUUCCUGCUCUAGUGCCCACCACUUCUGUUGUUGGCGUCACUGCUCUUCAAGCAGCGGUCGUGGUCGCUGGACGCCUUCCGCAACGAGGCGUGGCUCCGCCGCAAGGGGAACUGGAAGAACCGCCACAGUAAAAGCGUCACCGAUGAGGACGUGGAUGAGCUCAAGGCCUGCCUACAUCGAAUUAGGCUUUGGAUUCGAUAUUCCUCCCCCAAGGUUGAGCGCGAUCAACACCUCUCCGAUACUCUACCCGCUCUCGGCCUCUACUACACCGUCAACAAAUGCUACAACGACUCCCUUAUCAUACAUUAAUAUUAUUGAGACAAGACUCUAAUUCUAACAAGUCAAAAUUUAAAUUUUGUUCUUCAAUUUAUUUAUGAGUUAUUUAAUUUAUGUGUUAAUUAUGAUAAAAUUGGAUUAAGAUCUCGUUUAUUUUUGUUGUUGUUGAUUUGAUUGGUUUGUUGGUGUGAACUAUUAUGAAGGUGAUAACCCUCAGACGGUGAAUACGAGGCUGAGGCAGUGGGCUCAGGUAUACAACUUGCUUUCUAGCUAACAUGGUAAGCAGGUGUUCCGAGGAGAUCUCACACCAAGGAAAUUCAUCAAGUCCUUUCUACAAGAUUUGCUUCCUGGUUUGGCCCUUAAAAUAUUUUUCUACAUUCUACCCACAGUUCUAAUGAUCAUGUCAAAAAUUGAGGGAUAUAUUGCAUUGUCAACACUUGAGCGGAAGACAGCAGCAAAAUAUUAUUAUUUUAUGCUGGUGAAUGUUUUCUUGGGAAGCAUAGUGACUGGGACUGCAUUUCAGCAACUGCAUGCUUUCCUUCACCAGUCACCUACUCAGAUUCUUAGAACGAUUGGAGUUUCCAUUCCAAUGAAGGCUACCUUCUUUAUGACAUACAUAAUGGUUGAUGGAUGGGCUGGAAUUGCUGGUGAGAUUCUCAGGUUAAAGCCAUUGGUUAUAUACCAUCUCAAAAACAUGUUAUCAAGGUAGAGUAUCAACUUCCAAAUCUUUUUGUUGGGGCUAUUACAAAAGAAAGCUUGUAUAGUGCUUUUGAAAAUGGCAUUACAGCAGAGCAGGAAUAAGGGGCCUAGUACUAAACUGAAUUCUAGAAGGAAUAGGAAGAUAACAAACCGACUGAUCCACAGGUCAAUAAGUUUAGUGGUCACACACAUGGGCACAAUAAGUUUAGGUAAAAAAAAAAAAAUCAAUUUUUUAGGUAAAAGAAAUCGAGUUUUUAGACAAAAACAGAAACGAUUUUCUUGGGCACAAAAAGUAUUAUUUCUAUUUUAUUUUAAAAAAACCAAACAACAAAACAUAUAACUUCAUUUUUAUUUUAUCUCUCUUUAAUUUUUAUCUAUUCUAUUUUUUCUUUUAAAUCAGACACACCCUAAUACACCAAAUGUUAUUACACACCUAGAGAGAUAAAGAAAGAGAAAUUUAAAUACUUCAAUGAUUGUUGUAUGCAAAAGCUAUAAAAUUUAGUACUCUUCUAUCUCCUUACUUAAAAAAGGAGUUGUUCAUACAAAAUUGUAUAUGAAUUCAAAUCAUAUCUAAACUAAAUAUAUUAUAAUUGCUUUUGAUUUUCAGCAUAAUAAUAAUCAAAACACUAAUCACAUUCUUAAUUAUAGACCAUUCUAAUUACUUAAAUUGAUAAUAACUAAUAUAAUUUAUUUAACAAAUAUUUUAUUAUUAUAAUUAUCGGAGAAACGAGAUUUAACAUUAAGUAAAUUUUACAGAUAAAAAUCUUGAUAAGUUAAAGUGAAUGUAAAUCAACAACCUCUUUAAAGAGAUUUUGUGUCACUGGUAAUUUGAUAAUUGAUAAUAUUAGAUAUAUUACUCCUGUCAUAUAUGUUUCCUAUUGGCGUAAUCUUAAUUACUACUAUAAAUACUACUCCUGUCAUAUAUGUUUCCUAUUGGCGUAAUCUUAAUUACUACUAUAAAUACUACUCCUUGUUAGGUUUUAAAUUUCAAGUAAAGCAACCAUAUCUAUCUAUUUAAUUAGCUUUAUUUGAUUUGGGUGCACUAUUUAAUUAGAUUUUGUUGGCAUUGACGGUCUAUUAUUGUUCUUCUUGCAUGUAAAUGUAUAUUAAAAUUAAAAUAUGCUAUAUUCCAAUUAGUGCGCAACCGCAACCUCAGUGGCUGCCACUCCUUUCUAAAACUAUUAAGUACACUUUUUUUAAUCCUUUAUACAUAUAUAUAUAUAUAUAUAUACAAUUUUAUUUUGUAAUAAAAGGACUUAUAAUGAUCUUCAAGCCGUCAUGCAGCCCACCCAACUCUAACCAGCGGAUCAUCAUAUGGUUCAUCUUUUCAUACACCUUAAAGACACAUUGGGCUGGAGUUCAAUAUGAAUGUAUUUUUUUUUUUUUAUAAAUUAUAAGAACUAAAGGUAAAGGUAAGGUGAGUAUAAUAAAUUUAUAAUAAUUUAUCCACUAAAAGUGACUGCAUUUUGUGUGCCAUGAAAUUUUCUACUAUGUAGUUGUGCAAUGAUGAAUAUGAGGUUUCUAUUUUUGUUGGCUUUUGAUAUUAAUCUUCACAAUUAUUUUUCAUAGUAGUCACAUGCCGUGGGCAUGACAGUCUUGUUGUUUAAAGGUGUUUUUUUUAUAUAGGGUUAACCAUAUCUUGAAUUGAAAUUUAAAUUCCAUUCUCACUUUCGAGGCACUUAAAAACUGGAAUAUGCCCUUCUUGGAGCAAACCUUAAUUUGUUAAUAUGUUAUUUCAUUUUAACAGCUGCUUGUGCCAGUUUGGCUUUAUAUAAUAUUAUUUCUUUUGCUUUUCAAAACAAAAUGUUAUUUCAUUUUGUUUCUGAUCCUUAUUCAUGUUUUAGUCUAAAAUAAAUAGAUAUCAUUAAUUGUUG